UAAAGAUUUUCUGGGUUUGUUUUUUGUAUGUUCAUCUUUUUUCCUGCAUUCCAAGCUUUUUCUUCUUCUAGAAUUGAGGUUUAAGGUUGACUGAAUUCUUUUGCUCUUAUUUUUGUAAAUUUGUUAAGAAAAAUCUAAUCUGGGUUUUCAAUAUUUUGAUCUGCAAAAGAUUGGAUUUACAGGCGAGACGAUCAAUUGGCUCCGUGAUGCAUUAUAAAAUUGCAGUUCACUUGGUUUUAAAGAAACAGAAAACAAGGAAUUGUAAAGGGAAUUAAGGAAAAUUGAAAGGCAAUAUGCAAGCCGAAAAUGGAGCAAGAAUCACCAGAAGGAACUUGAGGAUCUGAUUGUUGCGAAUAGUCAAGAUACUCAUUUGGUCUUGAUAUCAAGGAUGAACCUGGAAUGGACUCUGGUUUAGGACAUGAUGAAGAGUUGAAUGGUAUGGGGCUGGAUGACUUAGUGGAUGAUCGCUUCCUAAUGACGAAACAAUUCCAAUGAAUUCUCUGAAUGUCCAGCAAACUUAAACACCAUGGCUGAAUUUCUUAUGAAAAUUGAUGAAGAUGUUGCAAGCAAUGUCGAUUUCCCGGACUUUAUGAUCUGCUUCAAUGGGAGCAAAAACCGAUUGUAGGAUACCGUUUUCCAUUGUCUCUGGUACCUACUGUGGAAAGAAUCAUCAAUAUUCAUGGCGAUGUUCGGCUUCGAGUUCGGUGAAGAACUCGAAUAUUAAGAGGAAAAUCUAUUUGUUUUUGUGUGCCACAUCAAAGAGAUGGAGGAUCUAAAGCUCCAUGAAGUCAGUGAGAAAAAGAUGCUGAUAUGGAGAGAUGCCAUUAAGGAUGCCCUUCAAAUCAUUUCAGGUCGAGUUUGCAAUGUGCCACUUGAAGAAAUUGCUCGAGCUUACUUCGUCGCAUUGGAGCGCAAUUGUUGCAAGCCAUUGGCGACAAAAUGGAUGCCUUGCAUGAGGGUACGUGCUGAGGCAUUCGAGGGUUUCAAGGACUGUUGGCUGAUGCAAUGGACUUCCAUGGGCAACCUGUGAGCACUGGUUUGUUCCCUGACUGAUCUUUCAGUACUCCCCAUGGCAACACUUUGCUGCAUUUCUAGCUAGUUUAGGUGAUUUGUGUGGUUAUGGAUAUGACUUUUCAUGUAAUAAGAGGCAUAGGCUUUCAUCUGGGAGUCUGAUUGGAGGCAUCUCGUCGUAUUGAAAUGUCGUUUUAUGACUACAUUAGUCAUAAAACGACAUUCUUAAUCCGGUUAGAUUUGGAUGCCUCGAACAGAACUCUCAAAUGGAACCAAAGUAAAACCUAUUUUUGAAUCCUAACUUAAAAACCAAAAAGGGUUUUUAGGUUAAGGGAUCAAGGAUGCGUUUUGUACCUCAAUGAAGUACUUUGAUGGACUACUUGUAUUUUAUGUUUAAUAUUUGCUGGUUGAA